rnacentral:rRNA from 1 species
GGUUGUCGUCAGCUCGUGUCGUGAGAUGUUGGGUUAAGUCCCGCAACGAGCGCAACCCUCGACCUUAGUUGCCAGCAUUCAGUUGGGCACUCUAAGGUGACUGCCGGCUAAAAGUCGGAGGAAGUGGGAUGACGUCAAAUCAUCAUGCCCCUUAUGACCUGGGCUACACACGUGCUACAAUGGUUGGUACAACGAGUUGCGAGUCGGUGACGGCGAGCUAAUCUCUUAAAGCCAAUCUCAGUUCGGAUUGUAGGCUGCAACUCGCCUACAUGAAGUCGGAAUCGCUAGUAAUCGCGGAUCAGCACGCCGCGGUGAAUACGUUCCCGGGCCUU